CUUGUCUUCUCUCUCACUCCAAUUCUACAGAGCAAACACACCUCUCUCUCUCUCUCUCUCUCUCUCUCAUCGAGCUAGGGUUUAUACACAGAUUUUUUUCUAGGGUUUGCUAAAAUUCAGUAUCCGAAUCAUAUAUGGACCUAACCAAGAAGCGAAAGCUCGACGAAAAUGGCGAUUUUCCGGCGAAUUCCGAUGCCGGAGCGACCCAACUUUCCCUAGAAGACGCUCGCAAGAUCUUCGAACCCUUCACUCAUUCCCAGCUCCUAGAGAUCGCCCUAAACGCCGUCGUUUCACACCCCGACGUCCUCUCCGCCGUCCGAUCAAUCGCCGAUCGUGACCCCUCGCAGCGAAAGCUCUUCAUUCGCGGCCUCGGUUGGGACACCACGACGGAGAAGCUUCGAUCUCUCUUCUCCGGCUAUGGCGAUCUCGAAGAGGCCGUGGUGAUUCUCGACAAAGCCACAGGGAAGAGUAAAGGCUAUGGAUUUGUGACUUUCAAGCACGUUGAUGGGGCUUUGUUGGCUUUGAAGGAGCCGAGUAAGAAAAUCGAUGGUCGAAUGACUGUUACUCAGCUUGCCUCUGCGGGAGUCCAAGGGGGGCCGAUUUUGAACCCUAAUUCGGCAUCGGAUGUGUCGGCGAGGAAGAUUUAUGUGGCGAAUGUGCCGUAUGACAUGCCGGCGGAUCGAUUGUUGGCGCAUUUUUCAGCCUAUGGGGAGAUUGAAGAAGGGCCUUUGGGUUUCGAUAAGGCGACUGGGAAGUCAAAAGGGUUUGCUUUGUUUGUGUACAAGACAGCUGAGGCUGCCAAUGCUUCGCUUGUUGAUCCAAUUAAGACGAUUGAUGGACGUCAAUUGAGUUGUAAAUUGGCAAUUGAAGGGAAGAAAGGGAAGCCGGGGAUGCCCACAGCCCCAGCGCCCGCCAAUGGUGGUGGUCCUGGUGGUUCGUAUGGUGGGUUUUCCGGUGGAAUACCGGGCGGCCCGCCAAUGGGUCAUAAUCCUCUGAAUUCAUCAAUUGGUGGUGGUGGUGGUGGUUAUGGUUCUGGGUUGGGUGGUUCUUAUGGUGGUUCUCACUAUGGUGGGCCUGGUUCAACUGGGUAUGGUGGAUUAGGAUUGGGUGGCAGUGGUGGCGGUUUGGGCGGUGCCGGUCGUGGUUCUUCAUUGUAUAGGUUGCCACAAAGCUCAGCUGGGAUGCCUUUGAGCGGUUAUCCGGAGGGUGGGCAAUAUAGCUUGUCAUCAUCUGGAUAUCCUAGCCAGCACCAUCAGACAGCGGGGACAUCACCGGUGCCUAGAGUUCCACCUGGGGGAAUGUACCAAGGUGGCCUCCCAUACUACUGAGAACAGUGAAUACUGGCCUGGAUAAUGAAAUAUUUCUAAGGUCAUUCAUAAGUUGGCUCUUGGAAGUAGCGGUUGCAGCGGGUGGUUUGCCUAUCCAGCUCUCUCCUGUCUUUUACUUUGUGGUAAGGCUGAAUUUACGAAAGUCUAAUCUCUGGCAAACCAAAAGAACCGGGAGCCUCAGCAAGGAUAUAUUAUGGGAAUGCAGUACUCUCUUUCCAUGUUAUUGAAAGGCAUGGAGCACUUUCUUCUGAGCGAAGUGGUUUUUGUGACUUGUUGAAUCAAUAUCGACCUCUAUGUUGACUUGGCGUUGCCAUGAUUUGUUUAUGCAUGAGGGAUGAUUCAACAUUAAAUUUGCUUUGAAUUCAAGACGGAGACCACGACAGCUUCACUUGCUGACAAUUGAUGGUCAUCACUUGUACACUGGAUCUUGGCAUCACUUGUAAACUGGUUCUUGGCAGGAGAAAGGUGAAGCCCCCGAAUAAUGACCAAAUGAGGUUGCUGCUGGUACCUCCACCACUGCUGCCACUGGGUUAUUGAAGUCAUUAUGCCGCUGGAAGGUGUGCUGAGUCUCUCCUUGGUUUGAUGUGUACUUAUUAUUGGUUAGGGCUGUGCAAAAAAUUGAAAAAAUUGCAAAUUGGUUUAAUCCAAGGCCAAAUUGUGGUUUUAUAGUUAUUGUUUCAGUUUAGAACCAAUUUGGACUAUUUAUAUAUAUAAUAUAUAUUGUUACUUCAGAUAUUGAAGUACCUGAUUAGUAUUUAAGUUUUGUUCGGUGUGUU